rnacentral:tRNA from 1 species
GGGCAGUUAGCUCAGUUGGUAGAGCACCGUCUUCACACGGCGGGGGUCACAGGUUCGAGUCCCGUACUGCCCACCA